rnacentral:snoRNA from 1 species
AGACAAUGAUGAGGAAAAGUUUUUAAAUGUCUGAAAUCUUUGGUGAUUACAAUCAUACUACUGCCUUCCUUCUGAGGCU